AACGAACGCUGGCGGCAGGCCUAACACAUGCAAGUCGAGCGCCUUAAGCACGUUCGGUGUGGCGGGAGCGGCGGACGGGUUAGUAACGCGUGGGAACGUGCCCAGAGGUAGGGAACAACUGCUGGAAACGGCAGCUAAUACCCUAUGAGCCCGUACGGGGGAAAGAUUUAUCGCCUUUGGAUCGGCCCGCGUUGGAUUAGCUAGUUGGUGGGUAAUGGCCCACCAAGGCGACGAUCCAUAGCUGGUUUGAGAGGAUGAUCAGCAACACUGGGACUGAGACACGGCCCAGACUCCUACGGGAGGCAGCAGUGGGGAAUCUUGGACAAUGGGGGCAACCCUGAUCCAGCCAUGCCGCGUGAGCGAUGAAGGCCUUAGGGUUGUAAAGCUCUUUCACCGGUGAAGAUAAUGACGGUAGCCGGAGAAGAAGCCCCGGCUAACUCCGUG
rnacentral:rRNA from 1 species